GGCAUACGGCUCAGUAACGCGUAGUCAACCUAACCUAUGGACGGGAAUAACCUCGGGAAACUGAGAAUAAUGCCCGAUAGAACAUUAUGCCUGGAAUGGUUUAUGUUCCAAAUGAUUUAUCGCCGUAGGAUGGGACUGCGGCCUAUCAGUUUGUUGGUGAGGUAAUGGCCCACCAAGACCAUUACAGGUACGGGCUCUGAGAGGAGUAGCCCGGAGAUGGGUACUGAGACACGGACCCAGGCCCUAUGGGGCGCAGCAGGCGAGAAAACUUUGCAAUGUGCGAAAGCACGACAAGGUUAAUCCGAGUGGUUUCUGCUAAAGAAACCUUUUGUCAGUCCUAGAAACACUGAUGAAUAAGGGGUGGGCAAGUUCUGGUGUCAGCCGCCGCGGUAAAACCAGCACCUCAAGUGGUCAGGAUGAUUAUUGGGCCUAAAGCAUCCGUAGCCGGCUCUGUAAGUUUUCGGUUAAAUCUGUACGCUCAACGUACAGGCUGCCGGGAAUACUGCAGAGCUAGGGAGUGGGAGAGGUAGACGGUACUCGGUAGGAAGGGGUAAAAUCCUUUGAUCUAUUGAUGACCACCUGUGGCGAAGGCGGUCUACCAGAACACGUCCGACGGUGAGGGAUGAAAGCUGGGGGAGCAAACCGGAUUAGAUACCCGGGUAGUCCCAGCUGUAAACUAUGCAAACUCAGUGAUGCAUUGGCUUGUGGCCAAUGCAGUGCUGCAGGGAAGCCGUUAAGUUUGCCGCCUGGGAAGUACGUACGCAAGUAUGAAACUUAAAGGAAUUGGCGGGGGAGCACCACAAGGGGUGAAGCCUGCGGUUCAAUUGGAGUCAACGCCGGG
rnacentral:rRNA from 1 species